CUACAGCAACAUCCUCUCUUUUCUGCCUGUCUCUUUUCAUGGAUAUUAAUUUUAAUCUUUAUCAGCUUUCGCCUGCCUAUGUAAAUUGUUCUCCAUCUUGUUUCCCUCAUCCAAAUUUGUCUCAAUUCGGACUUCCACAACAGGGAGCUUAAUACUAUUUUACUUUUUUCUUUCUGCUUAAAGUGUAUUUUACUUUUAAGUAAAGUGUAAUUUUCUUUACUGCUUAAAGUGUAUUUUACUUUUUUCUUUCUGCUUAAAACACGUUAAUGCUUGGGAAAUGUGAUGGAGGCAAGAGUUGAAGAGGUACUCAUUGUAGUUUAUUGCAGCACAGGCAAAAGAUAAUGCUAGAUGGAAGAUGAUUUUUCAUGGAUGUGAUUGAACAUGACUUUGGAAGUUUUCCUCCAUGUGAGUUUCAAGGUAGUGUUAAAGUAAAUAAGAAGGAGGCCAUUACAUACAGAGAUUGUCUCUGUAGCACAAGCUCUCAUAUUAGCAAAACCAGGACUUCACUUAAAAAACAUUUCUUGUAACUAAGAAAAGAAAAAGGGGGCCUCAGCGAGUCACCACCAAUCAACCAGCCAAUUCAUUAUACAACUAGAAACCUCCCAUCAGAACGUGCCCAAGUAAGGUAAAUGCCUCAUCACAUUGUGCAGAAAUAAGGCAGCCAUCUAGCUGUGUCUAAUCAGAGUAUACUCCUUCUACUUAAAAAAAAGGUAACUGUAAGACAACCUCAGGCAAGUCCUUCAGGAGGUAUUCCAGGAGAAGGCAUUGUUAUCAAGGAUGAAAACUCCUCGGGUGUUACUACCUCUGAAAACCCUCCACUGGGACAAGACAUGGAGAUGGAAGAUAGUUCUAUUGAUGAUCCUGACCAUAUAGGAGCUAUAGACCAGAGGCAGCACCUCAGUGGGAACAUGGACCAGGAAAACCCAGUGAAAGGACCCAUACACAUGACUUGAGACCACAAGUCGGAGGUGGUCUUUAGGUAAUCCAGAAUCCUCAUCUCUUCUUGUGUCUGACAUGAGUAAAAGUCAUCUAAAUUCAUUAUUUCGGCACUAUUUAUGCAGCUAAUUUUCUGCAGCUUCAUGAAAGACAUUCUGUUCUGGCCGUGGAAUGCAAACAAUCAUCUUACCAGGUUUCCCUUCUGGAACUGGGCCUGGUGUUGGGACUUUGACUGGGACCACCCCAAAAACAUAAUUCUGGGACUGUGUUGGGAAAUCUGUUGGAUCCUAUAUAUGGAGACACAGUGUCAGAGAGCUCUAUUAUGGAUCCAGGUCUGGGCUUGCACUGCCCCACGUGGAUAUCCCUGCUGGCUUUGGCUAAUCUCAAAUGCUGGAGAGGAACUUCAAUAUUUUUAGAAAGACACUCAAGCUUAGGGGCCCAUGAGGCAUGGGGCUUGCGCUGGGGUUCCUGCUUACUCAAGAAGGUUUGAAAAGAGAAAAUGACCUGGGCCUCUCUUGGACCGAGUUAUAUCCUUAUAGAAUAAUUUCUGCCCCUUUAUAAAUGAAAUAUCUGAGUAAUAAGCCAUCCAAAACUUCUUUGCCCAAAAUAACUUUUGGAUAAUUAUAAGUGAUAUUAAAGUACAAUCUAAAUGUGUUUUAAUCCCACAUAUGACUGCUACAAUCAUGUAGCAGUUAAUAAAAAAAAUUGAUAAUCAAAUUAUAGAAAAACAGCUCAUUUAAAAUGUCAGUUUUAAAGUAAUGAUUAAUCUUCAAUACUAAAUAGCAAUUAUAUGCAUUUUAAGUAGUUCAGAUAAAGAUUGCGUGUUUAGGAGAAAGUAUUUCCAGCCUUUCACAAAUGUUUUCAGAAAUGUGAAGUUGGAAAUAUAAACUGUUAUAAUGUGCACAAUUACAUAACUCCUAAAAAGUAUUUUAAACUCUUUAUAUGUAUUCAUCCUCUUAGAGCUGUUAUGUGGUAGAGAUGCUAUUAUGCUGAAUAAGUACUUAAACAUUUCUAUGGAAAUAUAAACCAAAGCAAAACAUUAAAUCUUCCGGUGCCUUGUAAGUAAGAUAAUAAGCACAGAAAUUUGUAGCAUACUUAAUAUCAUUUUCUCCACCCUGUACUUUAUCUUCAAUAUUCAUUUUUUAUUAGAUCUGGUUGAUUUUUACUUCCUUGGUGUUUGGCAAAUAGUUUUUUUCUUCUGUGCAUCUCACAUACGACUUAGUUUAGAAUUCAAUUCUAUUUAUUCCAUCUUGCUCUUUGCCUGCUCUCAUCCUUUGGGACACAUUUUCCUCAGUUUUCUAAAAACACAAAUAGAUCAUGCUACUUCUCUUCAAAUUCUUCAAUAAAUCCUAAUAUCCUUCAAAUUCAAAGCCAUUCAUCAAAGGUAAAUCUGGCAUAUAUUGGUGAUCUGGCACACACUGAAUUUUCUUGUCUCAUUCUAUUAAUGUAUCAUUCAUCUAUCCAUUCAUAUUUAUGAACUGCUGGUUUUCUGUCAUACACUAUUAUACGCCUGGGGAUAUAGCAUUAGCCAGGACCAUGGUUCUUGUUCUUAUGUGACUGUUGGGCUAGUAGAAAAAAAAUACAAUGAAAACAAAAUCAGAUAGAAAAGAUAAUUUUGAAAAGUGAUACCAAUCUUAAAAAAUAAUUAAAUGAGGCAGUUUGAAGGUAAUGAAGUCUAAAAAGGAGGGAUAGCCUGAAAAAGCUUUCUGGAAAGAGAGACAUCUGAGCUAAGACAUGAACUGAAAUAGCCAACCAUGCAAAGAUAAAGAUCCUCUCAGGCAAAGGGAAGAUAAGUUUCAAAGUCUCUGAAGCAUGGGUAAACUAGGUUUGUUCAAGAAGCAGAAACAGUAAGUCAGAGGCAUAAUCAAAAGAAAACUGGUAGGAAAAGAGAUUGAAAUGGAAGGGAGGGCCUAGGUUUUGCAGAAUAUUAUUUCUAUUUUCACAAAUUAUUCUUUAUAUAGUCCUGCAUUGACAGCUCCUUUGAAUAUAUCACACCAGCCCAACUCUUUCUCUUUGUUGUGUUAGAAGAAUCAGGGUGGUUUCGUUUCCUCUCAUAAUCCAUAACCCUUACUUGUACUGAAUGUUCCAUUUAGGUGUUUCUUCCAUUUAUCAUGAACAUAACACUUAAUGUGAUGCUUCAAAACAUAAAUUUCCAUUUUCACCCCUUUCUUGAGCUCUUUUUAAUAACUAAGAUGGUGUUUUUGAUACCUUUGCAUUAUUUCAAUUAUGUAGCCCAUUUUAAGUACUCUGAGAAUCUUUAAUAAUGAGGAUCUUUAAUAAUUUUUGAUAAGAAAAUCAAUUAAUUAAUAUACAAAACAAAGAAAAAAGAUAAUGUGAGCCCACAAUAAACCACUUUGUUUAAUAUAACUGUUUUGAUUAAGCAACUCAAUAUCUUGAUAUUUAACCCCUUUGUUUGAACCAAUUUCUCCCAUUUGGAACAGGACCAUUUACCCAAUGCCUGUACCCCCAUUGUAUCUUGGAAGUAGCUAACUUUUUUUUUUUCUAUUUUACAGGCUUAUAGGCAUAAGGGACUUGUCUUUUCUCAGAUGAGACUUUGGACUGUGGACUUUUGAGUUAAUCCAUACUUUUAGAACCUUGUUGUCAAUACAUACCACUAGAUGCAUCUUUUUUUCUCUUCAGUAGAAAUUUUCAGAGCAAAACACACAAUGCUCUGACAAGAUAAACAUUUAUAUAUACAAAUAAAGAAAUUGAAGUAUAAUAAUGUUUUGAAAAAUGAUUGCCAUAUUGAUAUGGUUUGGCUUCAUGUCCCCACCUCAUUUUGAAUUGUAAUUCCCAGUGUUUUGUGGGGGCUGGUGGGAGGUUAUUGGAUCACAAGAGAGGGUUUCCCCUUGCUGUUCUGCUGAGUGUGUUCUCACAAGUUCUGAUGCUUUAAAAGUGUGAGGGACUUUCCCCUUCCCUCUCACUCGCUCCUGCUGUCAUGUGAAGAUAUGUUUGCUUCCUCUUCACCUUCCACCAUGAUUGUAAGUUUUCUGAGGCCUCCCAGGAAUGACUCCUGUACAGUCUAUAGAACUGUAAGUCAAUUAAAUCUAUUUUUUCAUAAAU
rnacentral:lncRNA from 1 species